GGAUGUGAGGGGAUCUGGCUGCGACACUGUCACCCCAUUGAUUGCCCAGGGUUGAUUUGGCUGAUCUGGCUGGAUAGCAGGUGUCCCCUUCCUCCUCACUGCUCCAUGUGCAUCCUCCCUAAGCUGCAUGCUCGUCGAAGAGGAUGACCAUCCCCAAUAGAGGAGGACCAUUCUUCAGUCAAGGUAUAUGAGUAGCUGCGCGUCCCCUGCUAGAACUUCCAAACAACCUUUCAAAGGGGCUCAAGAAGGAAGGGCUUUUUCGAUUGGCCGUGGAUUCAAGGCGUUCUCAGGUGAACUGGUUU
rnacentral:snRNA from 1 species